GCUUCAUGAUUAAAUAUCGAAAACGCAUGCGUCAAUACACAUGUGACUAACAUAACAAGGCGAUACUGGCGAUAACAAGUGAAAUUUUUGGUUGGCUGUUGAUAUACACACGCACAAAUUCCAAUAACUAAAUCAUCCACGGAAAAAGAAGUUCCACGUUUAGGAGUAUAUUUGUAAUGAAGUGCAGGAGGCGAAGCGCCCGUGUGUCCUUUCAAAAAGUUAGCACGCGUUGGUGACCAUAAAAAGUUAGGUUAUGUUAGCAACGGCUGCAAUGCUGCAAUUAAAGAAUGCACGAAUGCGAAAUUUAACAAAUUUUUGUGGCAAAAGGAAGCAUUUGCAUAACAUUUGAAGAUGAGGAACGUGAUCAAAAGAUGCUGUAGAAGAGCUUUGCACAAACAGUUUGUGCGAAAUCGAGAAGCGCGUGUUCUGCGCGAUGUUACGGAGUUAGAUAAGCGCAAAUGUAGUUCAUUUUCAAACUGUUUUUCAGAAGUUGAAGGCGCAUUGAUGACCAGUGGGACCAAGGGCCUUUGGUGGUUAAAUAUGCCUUUAUAUACAUGGACACCAGAUGCAUGUGCUUAGAAAGAUGAUUUUUGAUUAAGAACUCAGAGCAAGAGUAUCUUUAAUGGUGUAUACAAAUUUGACAAACAACGCAUUUUAAUGUCUGAUAACUACAUUUCCUAUCCAUCAGUUCUACUUCAUGAAAGUUAGUUUUGGUUUGUGAGUGCAUUAAAUGUUUUACAGCAGAUUCUUUAGCUACAUUAUCAAAACUUAUCUGGGUGGCAAGUUUAUGGGACUUACUGACCAAAAGGUCAUGGUGAAUAGCUGUAAGUCAUAAAGUAGAUGAAAUUCUUGACCAAGAUGUAUCCUUCAGUAGUUUCUUCAAAGUGUCUAAAUAUGUUUCCAGCCCUCUAUUGGUUUACCACCAAAAUAUUUGUAUUUCAAAGAUCUGUGCAAAGAUUUGGCGUGCAUGUUGGUGUUAAUGCCUGCGUUCUUUUGAUAACACUGGGCCCAUGACUUCAUGCGCUCUUUAUUUUGAAAGUAGCAUUCCAAUAUGUAGCUGUAACUAUCAUCUGUCAUGAAAUAAUUGGGUACCAAAACCGAUAUUAAUGAUUUUAUUUCACCAACCAGAACCUCUUAUAUGUUGGUGUCCUUUCAGUUGGACAGAAUAAAUGUUACUGGAUAAUCAAUAUUUUUAUCAUCUAACACAUGGACUUGUGGUCAAUUCAAUGUCAUAAGAGGUUUGUCCCAUGUGUGCCAUCUACACAAAUGAUUUUGGCGCCAUAUUUUUUUAACAUAUACUCCAGCCCACUGUACAUGGAAGCUAAUGCAGUCAUUUUUGUGCAAUUUUUCAUGUUCUGAUGCACAACAAGAUUUUCCUUACUUCAUUUACCAGAUGUAUUAUUUUUUCUGCAAUGUGGGGAAUGUCUUUCAUAGUCAGAAGAUUAAAUCUGGUACAUGAACUGAGUUCUAGAUUUUUAACAGUUUCAAUUAUUUUUUCGUGUGUUACACCAGUGCGAAUUUGUUCAACUAGAUAUGUCGUUUCUUUUGUAGUCAGGGGUUGACAGCGAAGAUCAUUGUGAUGAACAACAUGAAUAGCAAUAAACUGAACAAGUACCACUGAGGAAGAAUGAUCAAAGUGAGCUGUAAUUCGUGAAGGACAGACUCCUUGCAUUUUGAUACUGCCACUAGGUUUAGGAGCUCGUAUAUUACAUUUACUAACAGAAUUUGCUAGAUUACUUCUGACAUUCAUAGUAGAAAAUAAUAAUUCGUCAUAUAAAAGAAUUAGUUUUUAACUCUAAAUCUGCUUUUCGUGUAAAAAAAUUCUUCCGUUUUCUUAAAUUGUAGAUCCUUUACUUCCAACUCAAUGUUAUAAACGAUGUUGAAAUGAUUCGUUAAUAAGUGAAAACGCUGAAAGUUUUCAAAGCAUAGCGGACAAAUUAUUCUGCUAGUUUUUAAUAUUUUUGAAAUUGUCGCCGUGAAAAUAUCUUAGAUGUCGAUUUGUACUUGAAAUUAUUUCACACAAUAAGCACAUUUUGUUAACACUUCAAACUUUUGGAUGCUCAUACUGAAAUAUGUUUUGUCAUGUCUAGUGCUUGUUUUUACUUAAUAAAAUAAUAGAACUUUA